rnacentral:sRNA from 1 species
UAAAACCUAAACCCUAAACCCUAAACCCUAAACCCUAAACUCUUAACCCUAACCCUUAAACCUAAACCCAAAACCAUAGUCCCCAAACUUUAUAACCAAAAUCCUACUUUAGCUUCUGGAAGCUGGUUGCGGUUCUAGUUCUUAUGCUCAACGAUACACAAAGCAUCUAGUAAUAUUUGGCUAUAAAUCCGCUAAUAAAGCCACUUCUUGAUUCUCAAAGCUUUGAUGGUGAAGUCAAAGAUCUUAUGAGUUUUUAGUCUUGACUCGUAUAACAAGGAAGCACUACUUUACUUUUCGGGAUCUUGUUGAGGUU